AAAAAAGAGGUUCCAGACUUAAUUGACACCCUGUAUAAGGGUUUUUUUGACAUCUUUGUUUUAAUAUGUUUGCCUAAUAGAGUAUAAAAAUUGUAUAACUGCCACUAUACUUAUUUUCAGUAAUGAGUUGGAUCUAAAUAGCCGUGCAAAGUAACUAUACUUCAGUUAUUAAAUAAACUUAGAGUUGAAAAUAUUUAUCAUUUUUAACAUGGCAUAUUAAUGGGUGAGAGUAAUGGACAAAUGAAAAUGUAAUCAUGUGUUUUUAACUUGAUCAACCAUUUCUUGACAAGUAUCAUUGAUUAAUAAGCCAAAUUACAGACUACAACCAAGAGAUCACUAUAGUUUUGAACCACAGAGGUUUCAAUCUUGUAAACAGCUGAAGUACAACUUCAAAUAAAACUCGUGGAUGCAUCAAUUAUCAGAAGCAAUUGCACAGGGAUAUAGGGACACCAUACAUACAUGGAUAAAUCUUCUAAUUUACUUUUGUAAUUUGUGUUGUACCUUAUGUAUGUUCUUUUGUGUCACGUAUUUCAAAUAACGAUGUGUAACUUAUUAACUUGCUUAACAAAUGCAUUACAAAAUGUAACUAAUCAAAGUGAUACUUUUUAACAAGUUUUAAUGUUUUAGUACAUACUUAAUUCAACUGGAAUUUUUUCCAUUCGUACCUGAAUAAAUUUAUAAGAACA